UUCAGUAUGUUGAUACAAAUGAUGAUGGAACCGUCUCAUUCAGCAAGCAGAAUUUGCUGUUUUUAAAGUGUACCAAGUCCUGUGCUAAAACAUCUCAGGCAGACGUCAUGUCCCAAAACUCUCUCAACUGGUCCACUGACUCAGAUGCAGACGAUAGCAAGCCUUCAACCCUGAAAGAAAAUGUUCAGCUGAUAGACACAAUCUCUGAUGCCUACUUUCAAGGGUUGAAGCACCUCAACAGCCAGACAGUUAUUGGUGUCACAGUUGAUGGC
rnacentral:sRNA from 1 species